rnacentral:rRNA from 1 species
CCUCAGUAACGGCGAGUGAAGCGGCAACAGCUCAAAUUUGAAAUCUGACCCCUUCGGGGCCCGAGUUGUAAUUUGUAGAGGGUGUUUCGGGUGCGGCGCCGGUCUAAGUUCCUUGGAACAGGACGUCAUAGAGGGUGAGAAUCCCGUAUGCGACCGGUGACCAACCCCAUGUGAAACCCCUUCGACGAGUCGAGUUGUUUGGGAAUGCAGCUCAAAAUGGGUGGUAAAUUUCAUCUAAAGCUAAAUACCGGCCAGAGACCGAUAGCGCACAAGUAGAGUGAUCGAAAGAUGAAAAGCACUUUGGAAAGAGAGUCAAACAGUACGUGAAAUUGUUGAAAGGGAAGCGCUUGCAACCAGACCUGCCCCUGGGCGAUCAGCCGUUAUUCUUAGCGGUGCACUCGUCCUUGUUCAGGCCAGCAUCGGUUCGGGCGGCCGGAUAAAGGCCCCGGGAAUGUAGCUCCCCUCGGGGAGUCUUAUAGCCCGGGGUGCAAUGCGGCCAGCCCGGACCGAGGACCGC